CCCUUAGAUGUUCUGGGCCGCACGCGCGCUACACUGAUGCAUUCAACGAGUUUCUUCCUGGUCCGAGAGGAAUGGGUAACCUUUUGAAAGUGCAUCGUGAUAGGGAUAGACUAUUGCAAUUAUUGGUCUUCAACGAGGAAUUCCUAGUAGACGUAGUUCAUCAGACUGCAUCGAUUACGUCCCUGCCCUUUGUACACACCGCCCGUCGCUCCUACCGAUUGAAUGCUCAGGGGAGCCAUUCGGACUUUCAUCAUGCUGGUUUCCAGUUUUGAUGAAGGAAAGUCUUGCGAACCUUAUCAUUUAGAGGAAGGAGAAGUCGUAACA
rnacentral:rRNA from 1 species